GAUGAGAAGCUUGCUUCUCUGAGAGUUAGCGGCGGACGGGUGAGUAACACGUAGGCAACCUGCCUGUAAGAUCGGGAUAACUACCGGAAACGGUAGCUAAGACCGGAUAAUCGGUUUCUCCGCAUGGAGGGAUCGUGAAACACGGAGCAAUCUGUGGCUUACGGAUGGGCCUGCGGCGCAUUAGCUAGUUGGUGAGGUAACGGCUCACCAAGGCGACGAUGCGUAGCCGACCUGAGAGGGUGAACGGCCACACUGGGACUGAGACACGGCCCAGACUCCUACGGGAGGCAGCAGUAGGGAAUCUUCCGCAAUGGACGCAAGUCUGACGGAGCAACGCCGCGUGAGUGAUGAAGGUUUUCGGAUCGUAAAGCUCUGUUGCCAGGGAAGAACGCCAAGGAGAGUAACUGCUCUUUGGGUGACGGUACCUGAGAAGAAAGCCCCGGCUAACUACGUGCCAGCAGCCGCGGUAAUACGUAGGGGGCAAGCGUUGUCCGGAAUUAUUGGGCGUAAAGCGCGCGCAGGCGGUUUUUUAAGUCUGGUGUUUAAUCCCGAGGCUCAACCUCGGUUCGCACCGGAAACUGGGAGACUGGAGUGCAGGAGAGGAAAGUGGAAUUCCACGUGUAGCGGUGAAAUGCGUAGAGAUGUGGAGGAACACCAGUGGCGAAGGCGACUUUCUGGCCUGUAACUGACGCUGAGGCGCG
rnacentral:rRNA from 1 species